UCCCUAGUGGCUCAGAUGGUAAAGAAUCUGCCUGCAGUGCAGGAGACCUAGGUUUGAUCCCUGGGUCGGGAA
rnacentral:tRNA from 1 species